UUGAUAAAAGAAGAAUGGACAUUAGUGGUAAUAUAAUACAAGGUUUGUUCUUUUUCCACAUUGUUUAGCGUUAUGGUGGUUCAAUUCAUACAUGAAAUGCUAGUACCAUUCCUCUCCCAUGGCUUCAGAAGAAAUUCUUCAUGACUGAGGAUUAUCUUGGCUGGAAGAAGGCGCUUUAUCUUUGAACAUCACAAUUGGCCAUCAGAAAUAUUUUGUUGCAGGGAGCUCCAUAAGGAGGUCAUAUCUAGUAGAUUGGCAUUUUUAGGCCACGUAUGCCCUCAUAUCUAUCUGUUUUACCUUUGGUUCCGAAGACGUACGGAACUCCAAAAAGUGUAAACCUUCACCGUAAUACGGGGAAUUGCAGAGCCAUGACGGUACCAUGCAGGUUUUCCAAAUAUUUGCGUUAAACUUAGAAUUGUACUAGUUCAUGCAUUAUACGGGGUUUGCUGGAUUAUUCCAUGAAAGAAUAACAUCACAGCACCAUCCAGUCUGGACGAAGGAUGAGGUUACUUGUGGCUUUAUUUU